AGCUCAAGGGAUCCUCCCACCUCAUCCUCCCAUAGUGCAGGGUUUGACACGGCUAAAAGAAUAUCAGGAUUAUUGCUGGGGGCUGAUUCUGGCGUUCUGCCUUAUACUGACCACUCACUCCAGCCCGUGAUGCCCGUGUGCUGCCUGACGCAGCGGCAGUCAGCGUUGUCUUCAGAUGCGGUUGCCGCCUUGUGACUUGAUAAGAGGCCUGAGUUGUUGCACAUAAGCAAAUGCUCCCACUCAUGUCAAUUAUGGAUUAGUGAGUAAACUUCUCAUGAAGUGACAGACUAUAUGCUGUGCCCUAGAGCUCUGUGUCCCUUCGGGUGCCGGCCCUACCUGCUGCAACAGCUCUUGUCCUGUGAGGGCCUGGCAGGGGCAGAGCCGCGCGGGCAGUGCUCAGCGGCUUGUGUGAGGCCCAGGGUUAGGUUCUCUGGUUUCUACAUGGGAAAACUGACCACCUUCAACUGAGGAGACAUUGCUCACUAAGAAAACAGGUGGGUUUUCUAUACCGAACCUCCCUUGAACUGCACUUGACACUGGUCUCUGUCAGCCCACAUGCUCAACAGUGCAAAGCAUCCCCCGAGAUUCUCUCAGGUUGUGCAAGGUUCUGCUUUGAUGUGUCACCAUUUUAUGCAUCAGUGUUGGAAUAGGUGAGUUUUAACAGUUGUCAUGUUAUAUCCAGAUUAUAAAGCCAAAUCUAAUCUCUAGAUUUCUGGAUAUCUGCUGCCAAUGUUUGGGAACUGGCCAUAAUUAAAAGCCUUAUACAGUCAGGACUUUGAAGUAUGCUUUGAAAUAAAUUUCCCAUCAUCUGUA